rnacentral:tRNA from 1 species
ACCUGGGUGGCUCAGUUGGGUAAGCAUCUGACUUCAACUCAGAUUAUGAUCUUGCAGUUCAUGGGUUCGAGCCCCACUUUGGGCU